AGACUCCAAGGAGAGGCCAACAGAUGAGGGAGCCAUUUUUCUGCAAUGGAAUUAAAUGGCCAAGUGGGUUUUUCCUUUGUUGCAAAUGGGGAAUGCUUUUCCUUUGACUCCACCAUCCAGUUCAGGACGCCUGAAUGUGUUUAACAUUUGCCAAAGGACUCACACUUGGAAGAAUGAAGACCUUUUAAAAAGAUCUGGAUUUUUCCUUAUGACUUGGAAUCCAUCUUUGUCUUGUAUAACUAGGUCAUAGCACACUAUUAAUGUCAGCAGUUAACAGUUUUGAAUUCAAAAAAACCUAAGUAAAUGACAUAUUUAAUUUUUUUCCUUUUUUUUUUUUCUCGGGUGGGUGGGUGGGAGAGCUUGGAGCUGUCUUAAUCUGUAUUCUCUUGACUGAACAAUAAAUUUUUAAAUAUAGUUUCCUCUAUUAAACACUUAAGCCUGACCAUCUUAUUAAUUCUAUUUUUUAACAAGGUAAUGUUUUAAAUGUAUAGUUGUAGCGAAACGGCAACAAUAACAAAAAAACUGUGAGCUGUUGUUACUGUUAAAUUUUCUAAAAACCUUUUACAUUGUAAGUACCCAAUCCAUUCUGUCCUUAACUGCACUGCCGUUCUCGUGUUACUGUCGCCUGAGAUGUCCUGAAUUUUCGGAAGCUUCAUCUGCAUGUAUGUCUUUGUCUUUGUCUGAUGUAAGUCAGUUAAAAUGCUUUUAGACGUUUUUGCUUCUAUAAAGCUACGAUUUUUUAGCUUCGAGCUUUUUGGAAAAAAAAAAAUGUUUACAGCCAUAGUUGCUAUUCAGAUUUCUUCCCAGUAGCUCGUACACUCUUUGAAAAUCGAUCUAUUUGAAGAAAAACAGCUGUUUUUCUCGAACUGGGUGUGGGGUGGUGGAGGGUAAGAGAAAGGAAGACCUUUUGUAUAAAAAAAGACUGAAAGCCGCCUCUGAAAACUAGAUUAAAACUGGAAAACAAGCCCUUAGCCGGUUCAAGCCAAACACCUACGUUGAGUCGGUGGUAUUUUCUGUGGCGGUUGGGAUGGCUGGUUUUGCCUUUUGUUUUGAUUUGACUUGUGUUUUCGCCUUUUGUUUCUUAAUGACGAUCACACCAUUGGUAAAUCCAGAGCACUAAACAGCCCUCAGCGAAGCCGCCUUUUUGCCAGCCCAACCCUGGAAAGUUUGCAGUCGUGGAAGGAGCAGAAAUACCACGAGUGUAACUUACAAAGAAGGUCUUGGCCGGAGACCGGAGCCAUGUCUGUGUUAUCCCCACUGUAGACAAUCCUUGCUUCCUCUGGACAUCUGGAGCAGGCCCAAUUUGACUGAGAGCCUUCCCCCACUAAGAAGUGAAUUCUCCCCUUGGCAAACUGCAGCCAGCCAGCCUCCUGGGUCGAGAGCCAAGCCAAAAGAUGUCUGAGAGAAGAAACCUGGGGUCCUGCAAAGGUAAGUGGGUCCCAGCCCACUCUCAAUCCCCCUCUCUCUGUGUGAUUGCUAUUCCACACUGGAGUCACCUGCUCUGUGCUUCUGAGGAACCUCACCUCUGGCACAUCAAUGGAAAUUGUCCUUCCCUUUUUAUUUAUUUUUAUUUAUUUUUUAUUUUUUGCCACCCUCACUGGCCACUAAGAGAUAGCCCUAGCUCCUCCUCUCCUGCCUGGUUUUGACAGGACUCACUCCAUUGAGUCCUGUCUCGUCUCUUUGCAGCCCUCCUCCUCCCCCCCCCCCCCCUUCAGCCAGCACUUAGGCCCUCCCUGAUUUAGCCCGUUACCUUGACAACCACUUGGGCCUGUCUCCCUCAUCACCACUGAAAACCUGAAGGUGGUUUUCCAGCUGCGGUACAUUUGCCCAAGUUGGGCACCCCUCCAGCUUCUAUUGGCUCGCCCUCUAUACAGCUGUACCCAAUAUAACAAACACAACCUUCCUGGCCCCUCAGCUGUAGUCUCGAAAUUGAUCUCACUGGUCCCGGGAACUCCGUCAAUACUGCCUCCUCUAGACUGAGCUCCUCACAGGCAGGAACAUGGUUGUUUCUCAAUAAACAAGUUGCAAAAAAAGGAA
rnacentral:lncRNA from 1 species